rnacentral:rRNA from 1 species
UGGUAACAAAGUGACGCGACCCCGUCGAGGGCAAGCCAACCACAAAAAAGACCAUCUCAGUUCGGAUUGUAGUCUGCAACCCGACUACAUGAAGCUGGAAUCGCUAGUAAUCGCGAAUCAGAAUGUCGCGGUGAAUACGUUCCCGGGUCUUGUACACACCGCCCGUCACACCAUGGGAGUCGGAUAUGCCCGAAGCCGGUGACCUAACCGCAAGGAAGGAGCCGUCGAAGGUGGAGCCGAUGACUGGGGUGAAGUCGUAACAAGGUAGC